rnacentral:rRNA from 1 species
CCCUUAGAUGUUCUGGGCUGCACGCGCGCUACACUGAUGCACUCAACGAGUUUACGACCUUGCCCGAUAGGGUUGGGUAAUCUUUUUAAAAUGCAUCGUGAUGGGGAUAGAUUAUUGCAAUUAUUAAUCUUCAACGAGGAAUUCCUAGUAAGCGCGAGUCAUCAGCUCGUGCUGAUUACGUCCCUGCCCUUUGUACACACCGCCCGCCGCUCCUACCGAUUGAGUGCUCAGGUGAAUAAUUCGGACUGCAGCAAUGUUUGGAUCCCGAACGUUGCAGCGGAAAGUUUAGUGAACCUUAUCACUUAGAGGAAGGAGAAGUCGUAACA